rnacentral:rRNA from 1 species
AACGAACGCUGGCGGCAUGCCUAACACAUGCAAGUCGAACGGGAUCCGGACUUCGGUCCGGUGAGAGUGGCGGACGGGUGAGUAACACGUGGGAACCUGCCUUUUGGUUCGGGAUAACCGCGGGAAACUGCGGCUAAUACCGGAUGCUCCCGAGAGGGAAAAGAUUUAUCGCCAGAAGAGGGGCCCGCGUCCGAUUAGGUAGUUGGUGGGGUAAUGGCCUACCAAGCCGACGAUCGGUAGCUGGUCUGAGAGGAUGAUCAGCCACACUGGGACUGAGAUACGGCCCAGACUCCUACGGGAGGCAGCAGUGGGGAAUAUUGGACAAUGGGCGCAAGCCUGAUCCAGCCAUGCCGCGUGAGUGAUGAAGGCCCUAGGGUUGUAAAGCUCUUUUGUGCGGGAAGAUAAUGACGGUACCGCAAGAAUAAGCCCCGGCUAACUCCGUGCCAGCAGCCGCGGUAAU